GGUGGCUCAGUGGUAGAGUGCUUGCCUUGCAUGCAUGAGGCCCUGGGUUCUAUUCCCCAACACCA
rfam:Dipodomys ordii contig_56896, whole genome shotgun sequence.